rfam:Pseudomonas fuscovaginae strain IRRI 6609 Pf_IRRI_6609_contig_14.14, whole genome shotgun sequence.
UGACCAGGGGGCCGGGAUGCUCUGAUUGUUUGAGGAUCGGAGCGACCUACGGGUACAGGGAGUACCUGCGCAAGGGCCGGGUCAGGCGAAGG